UAAUACGUGCUAGUCUCAAAGAUUAAGCCAUGCAUGUCUAAGUUUAAGCUACCAAACGGUGAAACUGCGAACGGCUCAUUAUAUCAGUUAUAGUUUCUUUGAUAGUCCCUUCUACACGGAAUAACCGUAGUAAUUCUAGAGCUAAUACGUGCUUCAAGUCCCUCGCAAGGGGGAUGUAUUUAUUAGAUCCAACCAGCCUCGUCUCGGUGAAUCAUAGUAACUGAUCGGAUCGCGGCAACGCGACGGUUCAUUCAAGUUUCUGCCCUAUCAGCUAUCAAUCGCAGGGUAUUGGCCUGCGAUGGCAUUGACGGAUAACGGAGAAUUGGGGUUCGAUUCCGGAGAGGGAGCCUGAGAGAUGGCUACCACUUCUAAGGAAGGCAGCAGGCGCGCAAAUUGCCCACUCCUGACACAGGGAGGCAGUGACAAGAAAUAACAAUACUGAGCUUUUUUAGUUUGGUAAUUGUAAUGAGUACAAUGUAAAUCUCUUAACGAGAACCAAUU
rnacentral:rRNA from 1 species